UUAAGCGACUAAGCGUACACGGUGGAUGCCCUGGCAGUCAGAGGCGAUGAAGGACGUGCUAAUCUGCGAUAAGCGUCGGUGAGGUGAUAUGAACCGUUAUAACCGGCGAUUUCCGAAUGGGGAAACCCAGUGUGUUUCGACACACUAUCAUUAACUGAAUCCAUAGGUUAAUGAGGCGAACCGGGGGAACUGAAACAUCUAAGUACCCCGAGGAAAAGAAAUCAACCGAGAUUCCCCCAGUAGCGGCGAGCGAACGGGGAGGAGCCCAGAGCCUGAAUCAGUGUGUGUGUUAGUGGAAGCGUCUGGAAAGGCGCGCGAUACAGGGUGACAGCCCCGUACACAAAAAUGCACAUAUUGUGAGCUCGAUGAGUAGGGCGGGACACGUGGUAUCCUGUCUGAAUAUGGGGGGACCAUCCUCCAAGGCUAAAUACUCCUGACUGACCGAUAGUGAACCAGUACCGUGAGGGAAAGGCGAAAAGAACCCCGGCGAGGGGAGUGAAAAAGAACCUGAAACCGUGUACGUACAAGCAGUGGGAGCCUCUUAAUGGGGUGACUGCGUACCUUUUGUAUAAUGGGUCAGCGACUUAUAUUCUGUAGCAAGGUUAACCGAAUAGGGGAGCCGAAGGGAAACCGAGUCUUAACUGGGCGUUAAGUUGCAGGGUAUAGACCCGAAACCCGGUGAUCUAGCCAUGGGCAGGUUGAAGGUUGGGUAACACUAACUGGAGGACCGAACCGACUAAUGUUGAAAAAUUAGCGGAUGACUUGUGGCUGGGGGUGAAAGGCCAAUCAAACCGGGAGAUAGCUGGUUCUCCCCGAAAGCUAUUUAGGUAGCGCCUCGUGAAUUCAUCUCCGGGGGUAGAGCACUGUUUCGGCAAGGGGGUCAUCCCGACUUACCAACCCGAUGCAAACUGCGAAUACCGGAGAAUGUUAUCACGGGAGACACACGGCGGGUGCUAACGUCCGUCGUGAAGAGGGAAACAACCCAGACCGCCAGCUAAGGUCCCAAAGUCAUGGUUAAGUGGGAAACGAUGUGGGAAGGCCCAGACAGCCAGGAUGUUGGCUUAGAAGCAGCCAUCAUUUAAAGAAAGCGUAAUAGCUCACUGGUCGAGUCGGCCUGCGCGGAAGAUGUAACGGGGCUAAACCAUGCACCGAAGCUGCGGCAGCGACACUAUGUGUUGUUGGGUAGGGGAGCGUUCUGUAAGCCUGUGAAGGUGGCCUGUGAGGGUUGCUGGAGGUAUCAGAAGUGCGAAUGCUGACAUAAGUAACGAUAAAGCGGGUGAAAAGCCCGCUCGCCGGAAGACCAAGGGUUCCUGUCCAACGUUAAUCGGGGCAGGGUGAGUCGACCCCUAAGGCGAGGCCGAAAGGCGUAGUCGAUGGGAAACAGGUUAAUAUUCCUGUACUUGGUGUUACUGCGAAGGGGGGACGGAGAAGGCUAUGUUGGCCGGGCGACGGUUGUCCCGGUUUAAGCGUGUAGGCUGGUUUUCCAGGCAAAUCCGGAAAACCAAGGCUGAGGCGUGAUGACGAGGCACUACGGUGCUGAAGCGACAAAUGCCCUGCUUCCAGGAAAAGCCUCUAAGCAUCAGGUAACAUCAAAUCGUACCCCAAACCGACACAGGUGGUCAGGUAGAGAAUACCAAGGCGCUUGAGAGAACUCGGGUGAAGGAACUAGGCAAAAUGGUGCCGUAACUUCGGGAGAAGGCACGCUGAUAUGUAGGUGAAGCGACUUGCUCGUGGAGCUGAAAUCAGUCGAAGAUACCAGCUGGCUGCAACUGUUUAUUAAAAACACAGCACUGUGCAAACACGAAAGUGGACGUAUACGGUGUGACGCCUGCCCGGUGCCGGAAGGUUAAUUGAUGGGGUUAGCGGCAACGCGAAGCUCUUGAUCGAAGCCCCGGUAAACGGCGGCCGUAACUAUAACGGUCCUAAGGUAGCGAAAUUCCUUGUCGGGUAAGUUCCGACCUGCACGAAUGGCGUAAUGAUGGCCAGGCUGUCUCCACCCGAGACUCAGUGAAAUUGAACUCGCUGUGAAGAUGCAGUGUACCCGCGGCAAGACGGAAAGACCCCGUGAACCUUUACUAUAGCUUGACACUGAACAUUGAGCCUUGAUGUGUAGGAUAGGUGGGAGGCUUUGAAGUGUGGACGCCAGUCUGCAUGGAGCCGACCUUGAAAUACCACCCUUUAAUGUUUGAUGUUCUAACGUUGGCCCCUAAUCGGGGUUGCGGACAGUGUCUGGUGGGUAGUUUGACUGGGGCGGUCUCCUCCUAAAGAGUAACGGAGGAGCACGAAGGUUGGCUAAUCCUGGUCGGACAUCAGGAGGUUAGUGCAAUGGCAUAAGCCAGCUUGACUGCGAGCGUGACGGCGCGAGCAGGUGCGAAAGCAGGUCAUAGUGAUCCGGUGGUUCUGAAUGGAAGGGCCAUCGCUCAACGGAUAAAAGGUACUCCGGGGAUAACAGGCUGAUACCGCCCAAGAGUUCAUAUCGACGGCGGUGUUUGGCACCUCGAUGUCGGCUCAUCACAUCCUGGGGCUGAAGUAGGUCCCAAGGGUAUGGCUGUUCGCCAUUUAAAGUGGUACGCGAGCUGGGUUUAGAACGUCGUGAGACAGUUCGGUCCCUAUCUGCCGUGGGCGCUGGAGAACUGAGGGGGGCUGCUCCUAGUACGAGAGGACCGGAGUGGACGCAUCACUGGUGUUCGGGUUGUCAUGCCAAUGGCACUGCCCGGUAGCUAAAUGCGGAAGAGAUAAGUGCUGAAAGCAUCUAAGCACGAAACUUGCCCCGAGAUGAGUUCUCCCUGAGACUUAGAGUCUCCUGAAGGAACGUUGAAGACGACGACGUUGAUAGGCCGGGUGUGUAAGCGCAGCGAUGCGUUGAGCUAACCGGUACUAAUGAACCGUGAGGCUUAACCUU
rnacentral:rRNA from 1 species